GGGGCUGUAGCUCAGCUGGUAGAGCAUCGGACUGAAAAUCCGAGUGUCGGGGGUUCGAUCCCCCCUGGCCCCA
rnacentral:tRNA from 1 species